rnacentral:rRNA from 1 species
UCACGCCUACGGGACGCAGCAGUGGGGAAUAUUGCACAAUGGGGGAAACCCUGAUGCAGCAACGCCGCGUGAGUGAUGACGGCCUUCGGGUUGUAAAGCUCUGUCUUCAGGGACGAUAAUGACGGUACCUGAGGAGGAAGCCACGGCUAACUACGUGCCAGCAGCCGCGGUAAUACGUAGGUGGCGAGCGUUGUCCGGAUUUACCGGGCGUAAAGGGAGCGUAGGCGGGCUUUUAAGUGAGAUGUGAAAUACUCGGGCUCAACUUGAGUGCUGCAUUUCAAACUGGAAGUCUAGAGUGCAGGAGG